rnacentral:rRNA from 1 species
UACGAAGGGUGCAAGCGUUAUUCGGAAUCACUGGGCGUAAAGAGCGCGUAGGCGGCUUAUUAAGUUGGUUGUUAAAUACCUUGGCUCAACCAAGGAACUGCAAUCAAAACUGAUUUGCUAGAGGAUAAGAGAGAGAAGUGGAAUUCUCGGAGUAGCGGUAAAAUGCGUAGAUCUCGAGAGGAACACCGGUUGCGAAGGCGGCUUCUUGGCUUAUUCCUGACGCUGAGGUGCGAAAGCGUGGGGAGCAAACAGG